rnacentral:rRNA from 1 species
GACGAGCGCUGGCGGCGUGCCUAACACAUGCAAGUCGAGCGAGUGGAGUUCUUCGGAGCAAAGCUAGCGGCGGACGGGUGAGUAACACGUGGGCAACCUGCCUUAUAGAGGGGAAUAGCCUCCCGAAAGGGAGAUUAAUACCGCAUAAGAUUGUAGCUUCGCAUGAAGUAGCAAUUAAAGGAGCAAUCCGCUAUGAGAUGGGCCCGCGGCGCAUUAGCUAGUUGGUGAGGUAACGGCUCACCAAGGCGACGAUGCGUAGCCGACCUGAGAGGGUGAUCGGCCACAUUGGGACUGAGACACGGCCCAGACUCCUACGGGAGGCAGCAGUGGGGAAUAUUGCACAAUGGGGGAAACCCUGAUGCAGCAACGCCGCGUGAGUGAUGACGGCCUUCGGGUUGUAAAGCUCCGUCUUCAGGGACGAUAAUGACGGUACCUGAGGAGGAAGCCACGGCUAACUACGUGCCAGCAGCCGCGGUAACAC